UUCCAGUUCAAACUCUUUCCAGAAGGUGCCCGUGCAAGACAACUAUGGCUCGCGCAGUUGCGACUUUGGCUCGAUGAAGGCAGAAUAAAAUAAUGUGGCAAUUGGCUCGCGUUGCUCUGUUUAUCAUCGGCGCUCUCUCUGGCAAUUGUUGGAGCCAUCCUGAGAACUCUUCAGUAAUAAGCAGCUGCCUCCAGAGUUUUAAUUAUGACCACUGUCACUUAACCCCAGAAGGUGUUCAUGAUUUAGAUUGUUAUCAACGGGGACCAGAGAAAAUGACACGGUGUGUGUGGAAACCGGGACAACGGUCCUCAAAUAAAACAACCUACAGUCUCGUCAUAGAACAGAAAGACAGAGAUUUCUGCGAAGGGUAUAAAUAUAUAUCCAAGACGACACAUCUGUUCCAGCCAUACACAGAUCAUGAAAUGACUGCAUACGUUGUCGAUGCUAGCAGUGAUGAGACGAAUUGCACGAUGGCAAUUUUCAAUGGAAUACCAAAAUAUCUGGGUAUGUUACUUAUUAAAAACAUGCUUAUUCAAUUAAAUUCAAUUUUAUUUGUAUGGUGCUUUUGACACUAUACGAGGGCAUUGUCUCA